AUGGGGAAGAGGCUCACAUGUGAGGAACUGAGGGAGGCCUCCAGAAAACAGCCAGUGAAGAACUGAGACCCUCAGUCCAAUAGCCUAUGAGGAACUGAAUCCUGCUGACAACCAUAUGAAUGAGCUUGGAAGCAGAUCCUUCCCCAGUGAAGCCUUCAUGUGAGACUGCAGCCCACUUGACACUUUGAUUUGUAGCUUGUGACAGACCCCAAGCCAGAAGAGUCAGGAAAUCCAAGCUAAUUCCUGUGCCAAAGGCUGGCUUAAGAGAGGGCCCACAAUGCAAUUCUGGCCUGUCUUCCUCUGCUGGAUGUCACCUUAUUUGAACUGGACACUUAGAACCAUGACAGCCAUCUGUGUCUAUGAGGGAGUGAGCCAGAGAACCAAGCUGACAUGUUGAAUAUGGACUUCUUUAAGGGCAUGAUGGCAAACAUCCUCAUUGUAAUUCCUUUGGAUGGAUCAUUUUGUGUCAGGAAUUGGUGGGUUCUUGGUCUACUGACUUCAAGAAUGAAGCCGCGGACCCUCGUGGAAUGGGAUUGGCAGCAAACAACUGUAUACCUGACUAACAGUGGCCUGAACAAAUAACGACAUAAUUUUCUCACCUUAUGAGAAGGCUGGAGAUGAAAGCUACUCCAUCAUCUUGAAUCCUGGAGUGAAGAUGAGAUGGGGAAGAACUAAGCUGACCUUUGAUGAACAGACGGCAUGAGCGUAAAAUGAACCUUUAUUGUAAGUCAGUGAGGCUGGCGGGGGCAUGUUAAUGACUGUGGCAUGCCCUUGACUGAUUAUAUUCUUCACUGACAUGCUGCCUAGCAUGCAGAGGCCAUGCGACCCUUGGGGAGGCUCCUACUUGCCUUGGAAAAGUAGCUCCUCCUCUUCUCAAAUGUAAUAAUGGAAACCUUACAUGGGUGGAUCCAGGGGUAAAGCUCUUUGUGGUGUAUAGCAACAGAAUGUUAAGUCAAAGUGGUUGUCAACAAAGUUUAUCGAACAGCAGCUAUAUUUUUUAUAAUGAACACUGGUUUGCCUGGAACCUUGAAGUAACCAUGAAUUUUUCCUAGACCCUAAUACUAUCAGAAAGAAACAAAUCACCCAACAAUAAGAUCAGUAACUAAAACCAACAAAUCCCAAAGGCAUCUCACAGUGCUGGCAUAUGUCUCUGCCAUAGCUCAUGCUCAUAAACUGCAAUGAGCCAACCCUGGCAUCAUGAAGGACCCCGAUUUUAAAAAUGGGUAAAGAAGUUCUGAAAGCCUGGGCAACAUAGUGAGACCAUUCUCUUAAAAAAAAAAAAUUAGCGAGGCAUGGUUGGUCAUGCAUCUGUAGUUCCAGCUACUUGGGAGACUGAGGCAGGAGGAUUACUUGAGCCCAGGAAGUCAAGAUUGCAGUCAGCCAUGAUUGCACCACUGCACUCCAGCCUG
ensembl:lncRNA LINC02245 long intergenic non-protein coding RNA 2245